AUUUUAUUGUGGAUUGAUUAAUUCGAAGCAUUUCACCCUAGAACCUCGACAGUGGAGAUGGAGAGAAUUUGGAACCGGAGAAACCUGUAUCAUAAUUAUCCUCGUUGACACUGGGACAAUGCAAUCGAAAUUAAUAGAUGGAAUUGUAUGACGUCUUCCUUAAAGAGCAGAUCCAGCUAAUUGCUCGUACGAAUAUUUUGCUUCAUGAUGUGGGAGCAACGGAAUUAGGAUCAUCGUGCAAAGCUCAGGGCAGAUGACACCAGCGUUGCUUCAUUUUUGAGGGAAAAGUAUGAAUAACAACUUAUAUGGAGGUUGGAGCAACGAAGUGUUUGUUCAUCUGAAUUAAGUCAAUUUGUUGUUUAAAAUUGCGUGAGGUAAACAUCAAAAAAAGCUUCUGGACUCAGUGAAGCUAAUACAAAUUCAAAUUUGAAAUAAUUCUGAAGCCCUGUAAAAUGCAAAAUUGCUUUGUCAUUAUUUCGAAGAUCUUGAAUAUUAUAUCGAAGAGCGAUCCUGAAAGCGUUUCAA